rnacentral:lncRNA from 1 species
GCACAAUGCCUCCAACCCAUUAUUUGGCCUUCACAGUGUGGUGGUUGUAAUGUUUUGUAUGUAAUAUAUAUGAUAUACUAUCUUCUAUAUUAAAUAAUUACUAUAUAACUUUACGCACAUUGAAAACUGAGUACCUUGAAAGCAGUCUCUAAGACUGACUGACUGCUCAUGGCAUGGGUAAACUCCAAAUCCUUGAGGUGGGUGUUGUGGAUCAGCUGUAGCUCUCAAUGUUAAGGUAAACCAGGAUAUUACAAAGCUCUUACCCCACCUUGUCUUAGAGACAGCCUGACAAGAGUCCUGGUCAAGAAAUAGCAUAAUAGCACUGAAGUCAUAUGUAUGGACUUCACUUUUCACCCCUACAUUACUUGGAACUGGGUCAGAAAAACAGGACAAAAAGCCAUCCGCCCUCCAAGAGUGUUCCUAGAACUCUGCUAGACCCCAGCCUCCUGAUUGGACAUUGGUAGACAAGAUAUAAGGAUCUUUGUCCUUCAUCCAAAAAGACUUGAAGGAGCGAUAAGUGAGAAUUUUGCCCCACGGACUGAAGGAUUCAAUAUGGCUCAGAAGUAGUGACACCUUAAGGGCCGCCGAACAAACAUCUGGAAUACAUUCUAGUCAACAGGAACAUUUACUUACAGGUAGCAAAAAGUAAGGAUAAGGGAGGAGAGCCAUGUGAGCGCUACUUACAACAGGGUGUUGAGAAUCCCAUGUUUGGGGGAGAUGAAUUUCAGGAGGGAAUCAAGCCUACAUACAGGAAGAACCUUCAGACAAGGGAGCUAAAACCACAGGCCCUGAAAUACAGAUGGAUGUUAAACAAGGUCAGGAUGGUCCAGCAGAGAAAGGUGGUCUGAAGCAGGAGAGCGAUGGAAUCGUUGGUAGAACCAAUCCAACUAUUCAAAGUGAAACGGGCUGUGCUCAGAGAGUUAUCAGGGAUACUAUUCACUAAAUGCAAAAUUUGGUUAUUCUAGUCAACAUAGCCAACACUGAGCAUUUAGUAUGUCAGAUCAGAGUAGACAUACUAUGAUUCAUCCCAUCUAAUCUCAGGUACUAUGCUCUCUUUAAUUUACUGAUGAACCUGAGACUUGGAUAAGUCAUAUACCUUGUACAAGAUGUUUACAAAGUUCCCAAACCAGAGGCUCUUAAAGUGGCACAUGCAAUGAAAUCUUGCAUUGUGAUUCAAGUUACUGCUUCCUCUAUUCAGUCUGAGUACUUCCCCAGCUCAAGGAUGAUGCCACCACUUUCAAGUGGGUCUUCAGUUUACUUAUUUACAAAUUUAAUCAAGUUGGCAAGGAAGGUUAACUAUCACAUCCAGAGAAACUUCAUGCCUGUGGAAUGAACCCCCCCCCACUUUUUUUUUUUUUUUUUUAAUAUUUUAUGUGUAUGAGCACACCAUUGCUCUCUUCAGACACACCAGAAGAAGGCAUCAGACCCCAUUACAGAUGAUUGUGAGCCACCAUGUGGUUGCUGGGAAUUGAACUCAGGACCUCUGGGAGAGCAGUCAGUGCUCUUAAACCACUGAGCCAUCCUCCAGCCCAAGCCCUUUCUAAGAUUCUGUAAGGUGUAUGUGAAGGGGAGGUGGGGCAAGGUAUGGAGACUGUUUUUUUCAGAAGUCCAUUCUCUUCCAUGGUAUUUAUGAGGAAGGAGCUCUCUUGUUCUACAGCACAGCAAUAUGAGUUUCUGUCUGAUUCUCCUGUCUCCACUUUCCAUCUCAUUGUAGGAGUGCUGGAAUUACAGACAUGAGACACCACAGCUGGCUUUUAAAACUGGUUCUUGGAAUUCAGAUCAUCUGGCUUGAGCAGUGAGUGCCAUGCUACCAGCCCCCUUUCUAUUUUCCCUUUUUCUGUACCUGGUCCUAUCACAUGUGACUAUAUACUGGUUAAGCACUCCUGUGUAACUUUUACUAGAAUGGAAAUGAUGUGAACAAAUGUCUAUUCACCCCAGAGAGAACCUGGAUGACUGACAAAAUUUUAUCCAAGUCUAGUUUAUUGGGAUUUCUUUUUAAUGACUUACUUAUUUGAUGUAUAUGAGGAUAUUGUCACUGUACUCAGACACACCAGAAGAGGUAUCCGAUCCCAUUGUUAAGGUUGUGAGUCACCAUGUGGUUGCUGGGAAUUGAACUCCGGACCUCUGGAAGAGUAGUCAGUGCUCUUAAACCACUGAGCCAUCUCUCCAAGCUUAUUGGGGUUUCUUAACAGAAGAAUGGAUGAAGAGGUUUCCAGCACUUGUCUCUCUCUGCUUCCUGAUCGUGAGUACUAUGUGACCUCACACUGCUGUCAUCAUGGCUUCCCUACCAUCAUGGGCUACAUGCUCUUGAACUGUAUCCCAAAAUAAAUCCUUCCCUCCAUAAAUAGCUUAUUAGCUAUUUUGGUCUCCUUAACAAAAGUUACUGGUGGCUUGAAUGGGCAGUGUCCCCUGUACACGUACAUGUAUCUGCAUACUUGGUCUCCCAGUUGAUUGUACUAUUUGGAGAGGUUAGGAGAGGUUAGGAAACCUCUAGAAAGUGGAUCCUUGCUGGGGGUAAUUAUAUCACUGGGGUAGGGGGCAGGACUUGAAGGCUUAUAGGCUCACCCACUGUUUCCUAUGUGCAGCAGAAAUUACAUCAGCCAGCUCCCUGCUCUGGCCACUGACUGCUGCCAUUUCUUCCUCACCCAUAUGGACUCCUCUACAACCAUAAGCCAAAAUAAACUCUUGAACAUUGACAUGUAUGGUCCUGAGCUUUUUUUCACAGCAACAGAAAAGAAACUUAUGCACUGGACUUGUGUGACUGGAGCUGUAGUCACCUCAGGGUUGGACCCUGAGACCUGGAGUACUGCAUACUCAGCCCGGACUGCCCCUAUGAUGGGCUGCAUUGUAUCCCCAACUCUAAAGGCCUGAAUGUGGCCAAAUCAGAUGAAGUCCUGAGGAUGGCUGUAGUCCUCUGUGGUGGUGUCCUU